UACGGAGGGGGCUAGCGUUGUUCGGAAUUACUGGGCGUAAAGCGCGCGUAGGCGGUCUGUCAAGUCGGAUGUGAAAUCCCUGGGCUCAAACCAGGAACUGCAUUCGAAACUGACAAACUAGAGUCUCGGAGGGGGUGGCGGAAUUCCCGGUGUAGAGGUGAAAUUCGUAGAUAUCAGGAGGAACACCAGUGGCGAAGGCGGCCACCUGGACGAUGACUGACGCUGAGGUGCGAAAGCGUGGGGAGCAAACAGGAUUAGAAACCCCGGUAGUCC
rnacentral:rRNA from 1 species